UUAUUAUGAGAGUUUGAUCCUGGCUCAGGACGAACGCUGGCGGCGUGCCUAAUACAUGCAAGUCGAACGCUUCUUUCCUCCCGAGUGCUUGCACUCAAUUGGAAAGAGGAGUGGCGGACGGGUGAGUAACACGUGGGUAACCUACCCAUCAGAGGGGGAUAACACUUGGAAACAGGUGCUAAUACCGCAUAACAGUUUAUGCCGCAUGGCAUAAGAGUGAAAGG
rnacentral:rRNA from 1 species